rnacentral:piRNA from 1 species
UAUGUAGUGUAAUCACACAUGAUCGUUCAG